CCCUAGCCCUGAUAGAAGCGGCAUCCUUUUUUGAGGUGAUUUUUCUUCACCUCAAAAAAGAUAUAGCGGAUAGCAGGAUUAGCU
rnacentral:snRNA from 1 species